rnacentral:rRNA from 1 species
GACGAACGCUGGCGGCGUGCUUAACACAUGCAAGUCGAACGGAAAGGCCCUGCUUUUGUGGGGUGCGCGAGUGGCGAACGGGUGAGUAACACGUGAGUAACCUGCCCUUGACUUUGGGAUAACUCCAGGAAACUGGGGCUAAUACCGGAUAGGAGCUCCUGCGGCAUGGUGGGGGUUGGAAAGGUUCGGCGGUUGGGGAUGGACUCGCGGCUUAUCAGCUUGUUGGUGGGGUAGUGGCUUACCAAGGCGUUGACGGGUAGCCGGCCUGAGAGGGUGACCGGCCACAUUGGGACUGAGAUACGGCCCAGACUCCUACGGGAGGCAGCAGUGGGGAAUAUUGCACAAUGGGCGGAAGGCUGAUGCAGCAACGCCGCGUGCGGGAUGACGGCCUUCGGGUUGUAAACCGCUUUCGCCUGUGACGAAGCGUGAGUGACGGUAAUGGGUAAAGAAGCACCGGCUAACUACGUG